AUGGGGCCCAACCCUAGCCUGGACAUGCUGGCCGCCGCGGCGGGGAUGGAGUCGGCGGCCGCCGCGGCAGCGGCGGAGGCGCAGCCGAGGGGCCGCGUGGUGCGGAUCAUCGUGCACGACGCCGACGCCACCGACUCCUCCUCCAGCGAGGACGAGUCGGCGCCGCCGCCGCUGGCCACGAUGCCGACGACCAAGGAGGAGCGCCGGAGGGAGCGCAAGAAGCGCCGCCGCGUCAUGGAGGCCGGGAGGAGGGACGACUCGGGGCUGCCGCACCCGCCGCCGUCCGCCGGGGCGCGCACGCCCUCGGUGCGCUACCGCGGCGUGCGCCAGCGCCGCUGGGGCAAGUUCGCCUCGGAGAUCCGCGACCCGAUCCAGGGCCGCCGCCUCUGGCUCGGCACCUUCGACACCGCCGAGGAGGCCGCCGCCGCCUACGACGCCGCCAAGAUCCGCAUCAGCGGGAGCCGCCGCCCGGCCGACGGCUUCCCUUUCUCCUUCCCGCCGCCAGAGCCUGCCAAGCCCACCGUCUUGCGUCUUCCCAUGCCGCAGCCUGCCAAGCCCACCAUCCUGCGGCUUCCCAUGCCACAGCCUGCCAAGCGGAUUACCUCGCCGCCGCCGCCUCCUCCUCCUCCCGAGCCCGCCAAGCCGGCCAUCUCGCCGCCUCCUCUGCCAGCUAAGCCGUUCGCCCUCCCGUUGAAGCUGAGGCUGAAGCUUUCCUUCAAUGCACAGGUCAAGGACAAGGGUUGGAACUGGUGCUCUGCAGGCGAUGUCAAGGAGGAGGAGGACGGGGGCUGUGAUGGCGAGGCAAAGGUUGGGGAUGUGAGCAUUGCAGGCGAGGUCAAGGUGGAGGCUGGGGGCUGUGCAGGGGAGGUCAAGGUGGAGGGUGUGGGCUGUUGUGCAGAUGAGUCGAAGGAGGCCGGCGGUAGCUCUGAGGUCCAGGCGGUCAAGCCGAUGUGGGCGAUGAUCACCGGGAAACGAAAGAAGCGGUCAGGCUGCGGCACCCGUGUCGGCGCCCUCCACGCCUCCUCCGUCUGCGUCGAGGAAGUUGGCGGGACCUGA
rnacentral:rRNA from 1 species